rnacentral:rRNA from 1 species
CAAAGGCCCCAAAGGAAGCCACGGCUAACUCUGUGCCAGCAGCCGCGGUAAUACAGAGGUGGCAAGCGUUGUUCGGUAUUAUUGGGCGUAAAGAGCACGUAGGUGGUUCUGUAAGUCAGAUGUGAAAGCCUUCUGUUCAAAGGAAGAACGGCAUCUGAAACUACAGAUCUUGAGUGUAGGAGGGGAGAGUGGAACUUCUGGUGGAGCGGUGAAAUGCGUAGAUAUCAGAAGGAACGUCGGCGGCGAAAGCGACUCUCUGGCCUAUUACUGACACUGAGUGUGCGAAAGCUAGGGGAGCAAACGGGAUUAGAUACCCCGGUAGUCCUAGCCGUAAA